rnacentral:rRNA from 1 species
UACGUAGGGUGCAAGCGUUAAUCGGAAUUACUGGGCGUAAAGCGUGCGCAGGCGGUGAUGUAAGACAGUUGUGAAAUCCCCGGGCUCAACCUGGGAACUGCAUUGGAAACUAACGGGCUCGAGUGUGGCAGAGGGGGGUGGAAUUCCACGUGUAGCAGUGAAAUGCGUAGAGAUGUGGAGGAACACCGAUGGCGAAGGCAGCCCCCUGGGCUAACACUGACGCUCAUGCACGAAAGCGUGGGGAGCAAACAGG